AGAGUUUGAUCCUGGCUCAGGAUGAACGCUGGCGGUAUGCCUUAUACAUGCAAGUCGUACGAGAGUUUUUAACUCUAGUGGCGGACGGGUGAGUAACACGUAAGAAUUUGCCUUUAGGAGGGGGACAACAACUGGAAACGGUUGCUAAUACCCCAUAUGCUUUCGAGUGAAAUGGAUUUCCGCCUAAAGAGAAGCUUGCGGCUGAUUAGCUUGUUGGUAGGGUAAUGGCCUACCAAGGCGACGAUCAGUAUCUGGUUUGAGAGGACGAUCAGACACACUGGAACUGAGACACGGUCCAGACUCCUACGGGAGGCAGCAGUGGGGAAUUUUCCGCAAUGGGCGAAAGCCUGACGGAGCAAUACCGCGUGAGGGAAGACUGCCUAUGGGUUGUAAACCUCUUUUUUCAGGGAGGAAUAAAUGACGUGUACCUGAAGAAUAAGCAUCGGCUAACUCCGUGCCAGCAGCCGCGGUAAGACGGAGGAUGCAAGUGUUAUCCGGAAUCACUGGGCGUAAAGCGUCUGUAGGUGGCCUAAUAAGUCAACUGUUAAAUCUUGAGGCUCAACUUCAAAAUCGCAGUCGAAACUAUUAGACUAGAGUAUAGUAGAGGUAAAGGGAAUUUCCAGUGGAGCGGUGAAAUGCGUAGAUAUUGGAAAGAACACCGAUGGCGAAAGCACUUUACUGGGCUAUUACUAACACUCA
rnacentral:rRNA from 1 species